GAUGAAGAACGUAGCGAAAUGCGAUAAGUAGUGUGAAUUGCAGAAUUCAGUGAAUCAUCGAAUCUUUGAACACACAUUGCGCCCUAUAGUAUUCUGUAGGGCAUGCAUGUUCGAGCGUCAUUUGUACCUUCAAGCUUUGCUUGGUGUUGGGUGUUUGUCCUCUCCCUGGUGUUUGGACUCGCCUUAAAACAAUUGGCAGCCAGUGUUUUGGUAUUGAAGCGCAGCACAAUUUGCGAUUCUGGCCUUAAAAUACUAGCGUCCAUAAGUACAUUCUCACUUUUGACCUCGGAUCAUGUAGGGAUACCCGCUGAACUUAAGCAUAUCAAUAAGCGGAGGA
rnacentral:misc_RNA from 1 species